rnacentral:rRNA from 1 species
AUUGAACGCUGGCGGCAGGCUUAACACAUGCAAGUCGAGCGAGCGGCGGACGGGUGAGUAAUGUCUGGGAAACUGCCUGAUGGAGGGGGAUAACUACUGGAAACGGUAGCUAAUACCGCAUAACAUAGGAUGUGCCCAAAUGGGAUUAGCUAGUAGGUGAGGUAAGGGCUCACCAAGCCGACGAUCCCUAGCUGGUCUGAGAGGAUGACCAGCCACACUGGAACUGAGACCCGGUCCAGACUCCUACGGGAGGCAGCAGUGGGGAAUAUGGCACAAUGGGCGCAAGCCUGAUGCAGCCAUGCCGCGUGUGUGAAGAAGGCCUUAGGGUUGUAAAGCACUUUCAGCGAGGAGGCGUUACUCGCAGAAGAAGCACCGGCUAACUCCGUGCCAGCAGCCGCGGUAAUAC